UACGUAGGGGGCAAGCGUUGUCCGGAAUUAUUGGGCGUAAAGAGCGUGUAGGCGGCCAGAUAAGUCCGCUGUGAAAUCUCGAGGCUCAACUUCGAGCUGUCGGUGGAAACUAUCUGGCUAGAGUCCGGAAGAGGAGAAUGGAAUUCCUGGUGUAGCGGUGAAAUGCGCAGAUAUCAGGAAGAACACCCGUGGCGAAGGCGGUUCUCUGGGGACGGUACUGACGCUGAGACGCGAAAGCGUGGGGAGCGAACAGG
rnacentral:rRNA from 1 species